rnacentral:rRNA from 1 species
UACGUAGGGGGCAAGCGUUGUCCGGAUUCAUUGGGCGUAAAGAGCUUGUAGGCGGUUUGUCGCGUCUGCUGUGAAAAUCCGGGGCUCAACCCCGGACUUGCAGUGGGUACGGGCAGGCUAGAGUGUGGUAGGGGAGACUGGAAUUCCUGGUGUAGCGGUGAAAUGCGCAGAUAUCAGGAGGAACACCGAUGGCGAAGGCAGGUCUCUGGGCCACUACUGACGCUGAGAAGCGAAAGCAUGGGGAGCGAACAGG